GAUGAACUUGCCUAUGGGAUAUACCACUUUUCCUUUUUGAUUCAUAACCAUUCACAUAAUUAUUUAUAUAAUAUGGAGUGCUUAAAAAUGAUAUAGAGUUAUAAGAAUAGAAGCGUGACUUUAUUCAGCGAGCUAUCGGACCUUCACCAUUCUGUAUUGAAAAAUAAACAAUUGAAAUGUAAAUGUAAAAGAAUUAAAACCAAGUUUCAUACAUAAAGAUUCUGCAGGGAGAUGGAUCCAUUCAGUUGUUUGGACAGUUCAGUCUGAAUUAACGUGUAGGCACAAUAUUGCUUUUCACUGUUGAGCAUUUGCAGUCAUUAAGUGUGAUCUUUGAUAUUAGUCCAUCAGUUUGAUUGUAAUUUAGUAGGUCUUAUAUGUAUAUAAUGUUUUCCAUUACCAGUGCAGUAAGUUCUGAUUUUUUUUAAGAAAUUGCAAAAUGGUAUGCAUAUUCAUAAUUAAAAUAAUUAAAUUAUGGAAAUGACAAGUUGAAGUUUUCCAUUAUAUAUUGUGAGGAAUCUUAAAAAUUAGUAUUUUUGAGCAGUGUACAUGCAUUCCAUUGUGGUUAUAAUCAAAUAUAAGGAAGUAGAGAUUCUUAUUAUCAGUAAACAGUUUUUAUUGCUUGGGGAAUAUGUUUUGAUCUCACUGGAUUAUCUUCAGGUCCUACAGAUACAUUUCUUAAUCUGAAGCAGAAUUACAUAUGGUUUGAGAUUGUCUGAAAGUUUAUAUCACAAAAUAGAAAGAAAAAAUUAAAUCUGUAGAACGUUUGAAUGUAUUAGUCAAAUAGAUUAAAACAAUUUUGAAAAUUAUUAUAUAUAUUGGCUAAUGAAGUUAUAAGCAAGAGAAUCGAUAUAAAACAUGCACAUAUGUAUUUAAAUACUGAUUUGUUCCAUUUUUAGUUAUUAUUUUGAGUCUGUGUAUGCACCAUAUGUAUUAUUUUAGAGUGGUUGUAUCAGAUGGGUGCAUUAUAUUGUGUUGAGUAAAGUCAUUGGAUUUUUUUAUAUAUGUGUAUGCCUGUAUCACUUGACACCCAGGAGACAGCAGGCAGAUGUAGUAUUAAGGUUUUAUACACAGUCUCUUGCUUAUAAUUGCAUUAGCCAAUGUUUCUAAUAUUUCUCAAAAUGUUUUAAUCAAUUUGACUGAUAAAUUCAAAACAACAAUUUUAGUAUUAUGGCUCUCCCUCUUCCUCCCCCAAACCCCUAUUUUGAUAUAAACUUUUUGACAAUCUCAAACCAGAGUAAGAAAUCUGUGUCUAGAGCCUGAGGAUAAUCCAGUGAGAUAAAAACAUGUCACCCUGAUAAAAAAGAUUUAAUUGAUAUACAGAUAGGUGUUUUCACUGCUUUAUUAUACUUGAUAUGCAUGCACUUUGAAGGUAUUUACAUAUUGUGAUUCCAUGCAAUUACUAGAUCUGGUUCACAUUGCUCUGAAGUCUUUAUGAGAAGCCAUAAAUCAAUAUUAGCAUGUUGUCAGGUAUUUAAGUUUGAAGUAAUAGGAAACAGUUUUAAUGCCAACUUAAUGUACAGGGUGCGGCAGUGGAAUGUGACGGUUUUCAGAGCGCUAUUGUGGCAAACUCGGGUCGAAUUAAAAUAAAACACUUUCACUUUAAAAACAGCAGAACAAUGCAAUUUAUUAAUCUCUGCUUAUUUCUUAAUAACAUUUGUCAAGUGGCCUCCAUGACAACGAAUACGUUCUUGUAAUCUAGACCGGAAAUUGCCCAUAACUCGUAGCAAUAAAGCUCGAAUUUCUUCAGUGAUGCAUUGUUUUAACUCCAUGAUGGUGCGUGGUUUGUUAACAUACACUCUAGACUUCAAAUAUACCCAUAGGAAGUAACCGGCAGCUGUUAGAUCAGGGGACCUAGGCGGCCAGGCGACGUCUCCAAAUCGGGAAAUGAUGUGUCCGGAAAACAUGGCUCGCAGACAGUUCAUCGAUUCACGAGCUGUGUGUGCUCUGCACAAAUGUAAUUUUGUAGGGAUGAAAUUUGAGGUCCUCAUGCAGAAUACGGUGAACACUCCUGUCUGAUAGGUGUAAUGCAGCUGAUUGACGCCUAGCAGAGCAAGUUGGACUCUGCUGCACCGCUUCCCUAACCUUCGCAAUGUUCUCUGGUGUGCGUACUCUUCGUGCACUACCAGCAAAACGAUCACAAAAUGUUACUGAAGUUUACCACCUACCUCAAAAUAAUGCUACGGGUAGGAAUUCUUCCAUGCUGUACAACAUUAAAUGCACACCUUAUAUCUUCUCUGGACCUGGAUUAUGGAUUUGCAUUCAAUAAAUGCUGUUACCGCGAAUACGCAUUCCGCCACCGACCUGUUAGCCAUACUGUCUCUCACUACACGGGCAGAAGAAACUGCAUCCCUUGGUGGUCACGUAGCCACACACACUUCCCCAACACUCAAUAACGUUAGCUGCAGCUGCACUCUGAAAACCGUCACAUUCCACUUCCGCAUCCUAUAUAUAAUUUUAAAAUGGCAUCGUUAAUUCUGUAUUGACAUGUUAAGGAUCAGAUUGCAUGUAUUAAUGUACUGAAAUGAUGUUCCAUAUAAUUUUGCAGCUUCUCUAUUUUUAGCUUAGUUUUGUUUCUUGAAGAAAUUGGUUUGUUAGAUGACCUUGCUCUUUGUGUCUCUCCCCUUUAAACUUCUGAACCACUUUUCUGGUUUUCACAAAUUUUUGUAUGAACAUUUUGCCAUUGAUGACCAUCCAAACUUCAUAUAUUCUACAGUGUGGGAAACAGCAAACACAAGAACUUGUGGGGUGGAAUCUAUAUUAGCGCUCUUCCUAUACACUCCUCAAAUAAUGUGGUAAUUGGUGCUGGAAAUAUAUGCAAUUUUUGUUAAGGUAAUUUCUUGUAAAGUGUAAAAAGAUAACAUGGUGGCCUUGCAGAUAUUCUCAUUUAGUGUUCUGUUUGAUGGCAAUAAUCAAUGGAUUAUUGUAGCUAUAAAUAUGAAAUUUGUUAUUUAUAGAAGAUGGAUAUGAAGACAUAUACAUUCUUACAGAUUAUAUAUAAAAUAUAGUGUAUAAGUCAAAAAUUACAGUUAAUGGCAAUGAUGCAAAAUUUUGAAGUUGCGUUCAACAAAUUUAAUGUAAACAGGAUCUGUACUUAACAAGUUGUUUUGAGAAAAGGAAAAAAAUAGUAGUAGUAUGUAAUAAUAACAGUAGUAGUACCUAAGAUAUUUACAAUUUCACUAAUGUUUGUAAGUCUGUGCAAAGUAUCAUAGGCUUUAUUCUGCCAAUAACUCCUUGUUAAAAUAUACAUUUGAAGUUCUUGCAAAAUUAUGCUGUAGUUGCCUAUAGUAUCCUGCACUUCAGAUUCAAAGUCUGUUGUAUCUGAAUGUGAGACAUUUUCUUCUGCUUAGCAUUUGGAAGAGCAGUGGUUAUCCCCACUUUCCAACUUUAUAUUACCUCUAUAAUUAACAUUGAUGUUGUCAUCUGUAGUUCUGUAUGUUUUUGCUGGGAGUCUGUUGCUGCAUGGAAACAUUUCUUCAUCCCUGUGCAGGAACAAGGUGCACCACACCAUCACAUCAAUAAUGUCCCAGUGUGGGCCAUCAUGCAAUAUUUAACAGUAAUUCUAUCAACAGCUGCACAUAAGAAUUUCUAUAUAGCAGGGGUAAAAUCUGUAGACUAAGAAAUGCUUUACUGGGAUUAAAGUGAAUACAUUGUGAAUAGUAUUCUGGAACUGAUGGUCUCUGGGUAAUAUACAGGACUCAGACUUGAAUGCACAGAUAUGGUGCCUGUCAUUUUGUUGCAAAGGUGCAAAAGUUCAAAUUAAAAACAUUCCUUUUCCUCACAGGUGUUCACACUGAAGAAACUUGAAAGAUCUAUCUGACAUAUGGAACAGAAAUUUGGGAAUGGGCUAAGAGAGAUAUAAAUGGGUUGCAAGUGGUAGUCAGAUGAAAUAUUCAAAAAUGAACGAGGAUUAAAAUCUGAAGUCAGGACAUAGGCAAGACCUGAAAAUUAAAUCACAAGAAGAAACGUUUGUCAAACUGAGGACAUGUUAGGAUUUCUUUGGAAGCAUCAAACUGAAUGUAUUGAAUAAAAAAGUAGAGAGUAAUAGCUGUGAACAGUUGUACCUGGUGUAAAGUCUUGUCUCUGUAAUGAAGAAUAUGAUUUGUAAACUGAGAGAACAUUAAGCAAAAUAACACUAAUUUAUAAAAGUUA